rnacentral:rRNA from 1 species
UACGGAGGGUGCGAGCGUUGUCCGGAAUCACUGGGCGUAAAGGGCGCGUAGGCGGCUGGGGAAGGCGGCGGUGAAAGCCCGGAGCUCAACUCCGGGUCGGCCGUCGAGACUCCUCGGCUCGAGCUCACUAGAGGCAGAUGGAAUUCCGGGUGUAGCGGUGGAAUGCGUAGAGAUCCGGAGGAACACCGGUGGCGAAGGCGGUCUGCUGGGGUGAGGCUGACGCUGAUGCGCGACAGCGUGGGGAGCAAACAGG